GGUGGUUGUAGCUCAGUUGGUUAGAGCGCUGGUUUGUGGUACCAGAGGUCGCCGGUUCGAGCCCGGUCUUCCACCC
rnacentral:tRNA from 2 species